rnacentral:rRNA from 1 species
UACCACAUCCAAGGAAGGCAGCAGGCGUGCAAAUUACCCACUCCUGACACGGGGAGGUAGUGAUGAUAACUAACAAUACGGGACUCUUUCGAGGCUCCGUAAUUGGAAUGAGUACACUUUAAAUCCUUUAACGAGGAUCUAUUGGAGGGCAAGUCUGG